UACGGGGGGGGCUAGCGUUGUUCGGAAUUACUGGGCGUAAAGGGCGCGUAGGCGGCCUACUAAGUCGGACGUGAAAUCCCUCGGCUCAACCGGGGAACUGCGUCCGAUACUGGUGGGCUCGAAUCCGGGAGAGGGAUGUGGAAUUCCAGGUGUAGCGGUGAAAUGCGUAGAUAUCUGGAGGAACACCGGUGGCGAAGGCGGCAUCCUGGACCGGUAUUGACGCUGAGACGCGAAAGCGUGGGGAGCAAACAGG
rnacentral:rRNA from 1 species